UCGGCACCAAUGGCGCUGACGUCAUCGGUGACGUCAUCGGCAUCGUCGUCAUUGGCACCAAUGGCCCCCGUGGCGCUGACGUCAUCAUCAUCGGAAGCACCAAUGGCGCUGACGUCAUCAUCGGCAACGCGCUCGGGGAUGACGUCAUCAUCGUCGACGCCAUCGGCAUCAACGUCAGUGACACCGUUGGCAUUGACGUCAUCACCAUCACCAUUGGCAUCCGCAGCCGCGGUACCGCUGACCCCAUUGACGCCAUCAUCGGUGACGCCAUUGGCAGUGACGUCAUCAGCAGCAGCAGCACCAUUGGCUCCAUUGACACCGUUGGCGUUGACGUCAUCAUCGUCAUCAUCAUCACCAUUGGCGGCGGCAGCAGCAGCUUUGGCACCGUUGGCGGCAGCUGCAGCAUCAUUGGCACCAUUGACGUCAUCAUUGACAUCAUCAUCUUUGGCACCGUUGGCAUCGUCAUCAACACCAUCACCGGUGACAUCAUCACUGACGUCAUCGUUGACUCCAUUGACAUCAGCAUCACCGUCGUUGACUCCAUUGACCCCACCAACACCCUUCACCCCAUUGGCACCAUCCUUGACCCCAUUGGCUCCACCGUCACCAUCCUUGACCCCAUUGGCACCAUCAUUGACCCCAUUGGCUCCACUAUCAACAUCAUUGGCUCCACCAUCACCAUCCUUGACCCCAUUGGCUCCACCAUCACCAUCAUUAACCCCAUUGACUCCACCAUCACCAUCAUUGACCCCGUUGGCUCCACCAUCCCCAUCAUUGACCCCAAUGGCUCCACCAUCCCCAUCAUUGACCCCAAUGGCUCCACCAUCCCCAUCCUCGGCCCCAUUGGCUCCACCAUCCCCCUCCUCGCCCCCCCCCCUCGGCUGUGGGCUCUGUGGCCGUGCCUUCGCCUCGGCACCGGCACUCACCUUCCACCUGAAGCUGCACCGGGGCCGCCGGGGCCUGGGCUGCCGGCACUGCGGGAAGAGCUUCAUCCACGUCAAGAGGCUCCAGACCCAUGAGGUGCUGUGCAGGGAUGGGGACGGCGCCAUGGACAACACCAUGGCCAACAACACCAUGGCC
rnacentral:lncRNA from 14 species